GCUGGGUGCGAUGGUGCAUGCCUGUAAUCCCAGCUGCUGGGGAGGUUGAGGCAGGAGACUCAUGAAUGAGUUCAAAGCCAGCCUCAGCAACUUAGUGAGGCCAUGAGCAACUCAGUGAGACCCUGUCUCAA
rnacentral:sRNA from 1 species